UCUGAAUCUGCGNACGGCUCCGCAAACCAGUUGUAAACCAUAGCAGCGUUCCGCCCGGCUUCAGCAAUGGAGCCGGGCAUUAUAUGGAUAACCGUGGUAAUUCUGAGGCUAAUACAUGACACACCAACCUGCCGGGCUGGGGGCAACUCCGGCUAGGUGGGGGACGUGCAAACUCCCAUUGCUAUAACAAAACCACGAAUGAAUGCACGUUCAGACCGCCAACCAACGGCAAGGGGGCUUCGGCUUCCGAACCGGGCGGCCCCUGCAACGGGCUUCUGACCUAUCAACUAGACGGCAGC
rnacentral:rRNA from 1 species